GACGAACGCUGGCGGCGUGCCUAAUACAUGCAAGUCGAGCGAAGUUUUUCUGGUGCUUGCACUAGAAAAACUUAGCGGCGAACGGGUGAGUAACACGUAAAGAACCUGCCUCAUAGACUGGGACAACUAUUGGAAACGAUAGCUAAUACCGGAUAACAGCAUUAACUGCAUGGUUGAUGUUUGAAAGUUGGUUAUGCUAACACUAUGAGAUGGCUUUGCGGUGCAUUAGCUAGUUGGUGGGGUAAAGGCCCGCCAAGGCGACGAUGCAUAGCCGACCUGAGAGGGUGAUCGGCCACACUGGGACUGAGACACGGCCCAGACUCCUACGGGAGGCAGCAGUAGGGAAUCUUCCGCAAUGGGCGAAAGCCUGACGGAGCAACGCCGCGUGAGUGAAGAAGGAUUUCGGUUCGUAAAGCUCUGUUGUUAGGGAAGAAUGGAUAUGUAGUAACUAUACAUAUAAGAGACG
rnacentral:rRNA from 1 species